UCUAACCUCGGAAUCAUCGGCCUUGUGUAAUAUAAACAUAUACGACUUUUAUUUACUUUGUCUUUUGUCGAGUUAGUUUCCUUUUGUACGCCGACGAGAGCACAUCGCAGAUUUCGCAGUUCGCAUUCUCCGCAAGUAAUAACGAAGAGUCAAUAAUGAAAUGGUGGUGGGGAUACUCUCCCACCCGUAGCGACAAUAUAAUCGGACCGGUUCACAGGUUAUGGUUCAGUAUUGCUUUGAAUUUCGACGAGUACACAUCGGAGUUCUCGUAGUACGUGUCCUUUGCAAGUAAUAGAGAAGAGUUAAUAAUGAAAUGGUGGUGGGGAUACUCUCCCACCCGUAGCGACAAUAUAAUCGGACCGGUUCACAGGUUAUGGUUCAGUAUUGCUUUGAAUUUCGACGAGUACACAUCGGAGUUCUCGUAAAUUAAAUGGUGGUGGGGAUACUCUCCCACCCGUAGCGACAAUAUAAUCGGACCGGUUCACAGGUUACGGUUCAGUAUUGCUUCUAAUUUCCACGAGUACACAUCGGAGUUCUCGUAGUACGUGUCCUUUGCAAGUAAUGGAGAAGAGUUAAUAAUUAAAUGGUGGUGGGGAUACUCUCCCACCCGUAGCGACAAUAUAAUCGGACCGGUUCACAGGUUACGGUUCAGUAUUGCUUUGAAUUUCGACGAGUACACAUCGGAGUUCUCGUAGUACGUGUCCUUUGCAAGUAAUAGAGAAGAGUUAAGAAUGAAAUGGUGGUGGGGAUACUCUCCCACCCGUAGCGACAAUAUAAUCGGACCGGUUCACAGGUUAUGGUUCAGUAUUGCUUUGAAUUUCGACGAGUACACAUCGGAGUUCUCGUAAAUUAAAUGGUGGUGGGGAUACUCUCCCACCCGUAGCGACAAUAUAAUCGGACCGGUUCACAGGUUAUGGUUCAGUAUUGCUUUGAAUUUCGACGAGUACACAUCGGAGUUCUCGUAAAUUAAAUGGUGGUGGGGAUACUCUCCCACCCGUAGCGACAAUAUAAUCGGACCGGUUCACAGGUUACGGUUCAGUAUUGCUUCUAAUUUCCACGAGUACACAUCGGAGUUCUCGUAGUACGUGUCCUUUGCAAGUAAUGGAGAAGAGUUAAUAAUUAAAUGGUGGUGGGGAUACUCUCCCACCCGUAGCGACAAUAUAAUCGGACCGGUUCACAGGUUACGGUUCAGUAUUGCUUUGAAUUUCGACGAGUACACAUCGGAGUUCUCGUAGUACGUGUCCUUUGCAAGUAAUAGAGAAGAGUUAAGAAUGAAAUGGUGGUGGGGAUACUCUCCCACCCGUAGCGACAAUAUAAUCGGACCGGUUCACAGGUUAUGGUUCAGUAUUGCUUUGAAUUUCGACGAGUACACAUCGGAGUUCUCGUAAAUUAAAUGGUGGUGGGGAUACUCUCCCACCCGUAGCGACAAUAUAAUCGGACCGGUUCACAGGUUAUGGUUCAGUAUUGCUUUGAAUUUCGACGAGUACACAUCGGAGUUCUCGUAAAUUAAAUGGUGGUGGGGAUACUCUCCCACCCGUAGCGACAAUAUAAUCGGACCGGUUCACAGGUUACGGUUCAGUAUUGCUUCUAAUUUCCACGAGUACACAUCGGAGUUCUCGUAGUACGUGUCCUUUGCAAGUAAUGGAGAAGAGUUAAUAAUUAAAUGGUGGUGGGGAUACUCUCCCACCCGUAGCGACAAUAUAAUCGGACCGGUUCACAGGUUACGGUUCAGUAUUGCUUUGAAUUUCGACGAGUACACAUCGGAGUUCUCGUAAAUUAAAUGGUGGUGGGGAUACUCUCCCACCCGUAGCGACAAUAUAAUCGGACCGGUUCACAGGUUACGGUUCAGUAUUGCUUUGAAUUUCGACGAGUACACAUCGGAGUUCUCGUAGUACGUGUCCUUUGCAAGUAAUGGAGAAGAGUUAAUAAUGAAAUGGUGGUGGGGAUACUCUCCCACCCGUAGCGACAAUAUAAUCGGACCGGUUCACAGGUUAUGGUUCAGUAUUGCUUUGAAUUUCGACGAGUACACAUCGGAGUUCUCGUAAAUGAAAUGGUGGUGGGGAUACUCUCCCACCCGUAGCGACAAUAUAAUCGGACCGGUUCACAGGUUAUGGUUCAGUAUUGCUUUGAAUUUCGACGAGUACACAUCGGAGUUCUCGUAGAUGAAAUGGUGUGGUGGGGAUACUUUCCCACCCGUGACGACAACAAACUCGGACCUUCAGUCGACUUUGCCAGUUACUAGUUCAGUUUCGCUGUGUCUUCCGACGAGUGAACUUAGAAAUUUUCUCACUUUCGGAGGAGGACUUUGAUAAUCUAUCUGCACGAGUGGACUUAGAAAUUUUCGGAGGAUGUCAAUGGAGCGAGUAUUAACGAAGACUUAAAAACCACGUUGUGCAGAUGUAAUCGAGUGUUAGUAUCGCUAAAAUAAAUUUAUCGCGAAGUAGAAGCAGUGUUUGUUCGUUCGCGCUUCGCGAUUUAAACCAUAAGUGUUUUUGAAUAGACUGCGUGCAAUGCAGUCUUUAGAGUCAGUGUUGUUCGUAAAGUUAUUUGCUCUUUUAACAGUCGCACAGACUGAAUUUAUAAAAUAUAAUAGAGUUCCGCGAAUUAAAUUCAGUGAUCGUUCGUUAAUAAAUAACUACCGCGAGUUAGAGUCAGUGCAUCACUGAAGAGGAUCUCGACCAACUUCGAUGUCGACCUACCUCAUUUUCAACCAACUACAAAUCAUCCACCCUCAAUUUCGACCUAAAUCGCGGUCCAGUGUUUUGGAGCCAUCGCAGAACUUCUUAAGUAGUCAGAUCAUCGAGGGAUGGAUUAUUGAGGGAUGGAUCAUCGAGGGAAUGAUCAUCGUGAAAUUUAUUUCUUUAUUUAUUAUACAUUUUUAUUCAUUCUGCAUAUUUCUAUUUAUUAUAAGCAUUUCUAUUUAUGUAUAAGCAUUAUAUAUUUAUUAUAAGCAUAUUUAUUUUAUUUAUUACAUGCAUUUCUAUCGAUUAUAUAUAUUUCUAUUUAUUUAAACGCAUAGAUAUAUAAUAAUUUAAACAAUUACCUGAGAUUAAUUAUUCUACUUUCUCUCGAUUUGGGUACUUUGAUUUUUCCCGGGUGAAACGAUCUUCAAGAUAUUCAGAUGUCUUUUUAAAUUCUAUCUUUCUUUCUCGCACUCGCACGGAUAUUCCUGUUUUUUUUUCUCCUUUUUCUAUUCUUCUCU